ensembl:misc_RNA Y_RNA Y RNA
GGCUGGUCCAAGUGUGAUGGUGCUCACAACUAUGAUCACAACCAGUUAUAGAUUUCCAUACUCAUUCUCCAAUCCCAAUGCUUCACUUGACUAGCCUUUA